CUGCAUGGUGUCGUCAGCUCGUGCCGUGAGGUGUCGGGUAAGUCCCAUAACGAGCGCAACCCUAUCAUUAGUUGCCAUCAGGUCAAGCUGGGGACUCUAAUGAAACUGCCUACGCAAGUAGUGAGGAAGGUGGGGAUGACGUCAAAUCAGCACGGCCCUUACGUCCAGGGCUACACACGUGCUACAAUGGCCGGUACAAAGGGCAGCUACCUGGUGACAGGAUGCUAAUCUCAAAAGCCGGUCUCAGUUCGGAUCGGAGUCUGCAACCCGACUCCGUGAAGCUGGAAUCGCUGGUAAUCGCGCAUCAGCCAUGGCGCGGUGAAUACGUUCCCGGGCCUU
rnacentral:rRNA from 1 species